rnacentral:sRNA from 1 species
GCCCGACUUGAACGGAGCUCUUUUUCUUUUCUGCUGCUUGGAUUUGGGUUUGGAAGCAGAAAAUAAAAAAGCGGGAGUGGAAGGCGGAAAAGCUG